rnacentral:rRNA from 1 species
GACGGAGGAUGCAAGCGUUAUCCGGAAUGAUUGGGCGUAAAGCGUCCGCAGGUGGCAGUUCAAGUCUGCUGUCAAAGACCGGGGCUUAACUUCGGAAAGGCAGUGGAAACUGAGCAGCUAGAGUAUGGUAGGGGCAGAGGGAAUUCCUGGUGUAGCGGUGAAAUGCGUAGAGAUCAGGAAGAACAUCGGUGGCGAAGGCGCUCUGCUGGACCAUAACUGACACUCAGGGACGAAAGCUAGGGGAGCGAAUGGG